ACCCCAAUCUAACCCUGUGUCUAGCAUAUAUCAAGAAUAUGGAGAAUCACCGAAUAAAACAUAUACUAUAUGGAAGCUAAAACAUGGAUAACUGAAUGUGGGGAAUACCUAACUAUUUAAAACAUAUUAAGAGCUUAAUAACAACUGAAAGAUUAAACUUAACAAUUCAAGCUAAUUGUAUAACUAUGUCUGAAAAACCUCUAAUUGAGUUGAGUUACUGGGACAUGCCCCCAGCUAAUUCUACAAACUGAAAACUGAAUAAAAAGACUAAAAUGAAAAAGCAUGUCUAUUGUCCUCAAAGUAUGAGGACUCACCAUUGAAGCUGCUGAAAUGUAGACCGAGAACCGAUCUAAGCGUGAUUUGUAUCUUGAGUACUUGAACCUACAUCAUGAAUGAAAUGUAGAAUAUGUGUCGGAUCUUGGAAUGUGUUGAGCAUGCAUGAUGUAGAUAUUAAGGUGAACAAAUAUAUAUAAGCUGGAAAAAGCAUAACUGAGCAAUGACAUAAAAUGAGUAAGAAUUACAUACUGAAAUACAACUGAAAAGCUAAUUUGAAUGCAAUGACCAAGUACUAAUCAUGAAAAUAACAUGUUGGACUGAAUGCUGAAGUAUAUACUGAAAAAACCUGCUCAAAUGCACUAAGAGUUUAGUUGUGGGAGCUAAUAUUAACCGACAUAAACCACAUGGGCUAAACGUGGAGUCUGAUACGCCCCAACAAGAGGAACCAAUACACAUUGUCAUGGUUAUAAAGACAUGACUGGCGUGAUCACUAAAUUUGAUGCCCAACAGAGCGGACUUAUACUAUUAGGGCCACGUAGUUUUAGGACUAUGAGGGUGCGUUGAACCCUAAUCCAACUCGGUGCUAAAUCUACUCCCAACUGAAUAUGUAUAUGACACAGUUGUGACUGUAAUACUGAAUAGCUCAAAAUAAUGAUAUGCAAUCUGAUAAUGCAACAUUUUUAUAUUGAUAAUGUAUCAUUCAAAUUUGGAGCAUGAUUAUCCGUUUAACUGACCUAAGAAGUAUAAUUCGUGAACCAAGAGCAUAUAUACAACUAGAGUUUUGAGUUUCUUACAAGAAAUCAAGCAAACUUGAAAAAAAAAACUAUUUCGAUUUAGGAUGCUACAACAGCUAAAUCACAGUAAAUAUCCAAGGUUUUAGAAACCCUAGGUCUAAAUAAGAUAUGGAGAAUUCAGGAAUUGAUUGAAUUCUAGGGACCUACCACUAGUGAAAUACCACAUACUUGAUGAUGAAAUCUACGGAGAAAUUCUUUGAAUUUCGAAGUUAAACCUUAAAGAACAAUACUGCUUGUUUUGGGGAGGUUUGAUCGACCUUUUCCUCUUCUUUUUUCUCCAAGUUUGGAUGAUAUUUUCGAAGAUGAGGGUUCUGGGUAAGUUUGACUAUGUUUUUAGGCUUAGACUAAGUAAAACGACGUAGUUUAAGCCCUAAUACAUAGGAAAAAGAUCUAAAUGUCCUUUGGACUACUAACUGUCAACUGCGGUCGUGGUUCGUGGUCUGCCCGAUAGGGCUUUACUAAAAUAAGCAUAUUUUUUUACUCAGAGCUGGAAUUUUAACAAACUCGAUGGCUUUGGACAGAGGAUUCAAUUACCUCUAAUUUGAUAGGUCCUAAUUCAUUUUAUGCUAAAACAUAUGACCGUUUGAAGUUGACCCAACAAUUGAUUCCCUCUAAUUAGUUGUCGACCCUUACCUACGGUCCGUAGGUCCGACCACGGACUGCACUGGUUAACGUGGGGGAGAUCUGAGACAGUCAACAUUUGGGCCUUAGCGACGGAAUCCCACCUACGAUCUAUGGGUGUAACUAUCGAUACUAACACCAAUUUUUUUGAAAAUUAGAUUUUUUUUUUAAUUUUAAGGUCUGAGGUGUUACAUAUGACUUAACCUAGUACCUGUCAAUGCCACUAUAAGCCAAAGGUGUUAAUCGUAAGAUUGAAGUAUUGAUAAAUAAAACCAAGUGUAAAAUGACGGAUACUGAUUGAUGGGUCGUAAGUGAAUAUACGAGUCAUGCAAAUGAAGCUGUAGAAAAAGUUCAGAAAUCAACUCCACUAAUUGAAUGAAAGUUGAACAAGACAGGCCAUAGAUCAUGAUCGUAGAAAUGAUCAUCCAGAUAGGAGACUAACUACUGAAUGACAGAACACACUUACAAGCCGUAGGUCUCCAACCGUAGAUGACACUGUCCAAAGUGAAUUUCUUUAAUCUUCUUUUUCCUGCUCGGUUUAGAAAAAGUUCAUAAAUCAACUCCACUAAUUGAAUGAAAGUUGAACAAUAUAGGUCGUAAUAAUGCCCGUAGAAAUUAUCAUCCACACGAGAGACUAACUGUUGAAUGAAAACACUUACAAGCCAUUGGUCUCCAACCGUAGACGACAAUGUCCAAAUCGAAUUUUCUUAGUCUUCCUUUUCCUACUCGAUUUAUGAUUUGUUUUCUAUAAAUCUUACAUGUAAUUUUUGUUUUUUGGGUUGUAAACCUUAUAUGAUAAAAUGUUUUGGAUUUGAGAAUUAUUUUGCAAACAUUUUUAGCUUAAUUCUUAAAGAUCGAUUUAUGAAAUUUGCAUUUGUUCUUAAAAUUCAAGAUUUCUCUAUUCUCAUUGUAAGUUCAUGAUUUGUGCUAUUAACCCUAAUAUGAAUUAUCAAGCAUGAAUAGCUAAAUCUACAACUACGUUUGUAUGAACCAUGAGUAAUUAAUAAUGAAAAACUAAUAAUUAAUUAAUUUUGGGAUAGUGCUUAUACAAGUAUUGUUUUUCUCUUUGUUUUGGAUGUUAUUUAAUGAUGCCCAGCGUUAGAACUCGCCCUAUUCCUAUUUGUUCGACCAAGGAAUUAAUGAGUGAGAAAAAGGUUAAACAACAGUGAUUUAGUCUCUAUCUAAUAGCCUGACCCAAAUACGUGCGGGAUAAUUUGAGGUCAAGGAUAAGGGUUAGUAAAGUACACACUCAUAGACCAACCAAGUUGUGUGGUGAAAUUUCCUAUUUAGACGAUCAAUUACUUAGGAGAUACAUAACUUACUGACUUUGCAGAUUAACACUAGGAAAAAGUUAUUAUUAUUAGGAUUACAACAUUAAGAACUUGUGGGGAGCACAUAUGCCCUAGUUUCAUCUCAUAUUGAUAUUAUAUACUGCGAAUUCUUCUUAUUUCUUACUUGUUGUCGCACCCUAUUUUCGAACAAGCCGAAAUAAUUCACAACAUAAUAUGACUGACACUUUAAUUUUGAAAAUUAUGUUUUAUUUUAGAGUCGCCACCUAAAUUUUAAGAAAAAUAUUAGGAAAAACAUUUUUUUAACUAAAUGUAAACUCUGUUUUUGCUUUGCGAAAAUAGUGAGAUUCUGAGUAAGGAUUUUGGUUACUCGAGAGGAAGGUGUUAAGCACCCUUCAGAGCCUAUCCGAAGAUAGUCCUAAACUCAAUUUAGAAAAUUAUGAUUUGGAAAACUUGUUUAUUAAUUUUCUUUAAAAAUCAAUGAUAAGUUAAUUUAUUAGUUGUUUUUUUUAAAAAAAAGUAAAAUAUAAGGUACGACAUAUAUAUGCUUUAUAAAAUAGAUUUAAUAGUUAUAUUUUUAUUAUGUGAUAAAAUAAAUAAAUAGUAAAGAUACGAUAAUUUCAUAUGUGAAAAUAUAUAUAGCCGUAUCAUACUGAACUAUCCUAAAAAUAUAUAGAUGUUGAAUUUCGAAAAUUAGUUGCCUUGUUAAGACAUGAAAUAAAAGUAAAAUAGUAAUUGGGUGUAAAUAUGUAGUAAUAUGUGAUGUGUAAUGAAAAUAUAUAGAAUGGAGUUUUCUAAAAAUAAUAAAGAAAUAAAUCAUACUAGAAGUUAAAUUAUUAUAUUGAAUUUGUAAUCUUAAAUAUAUUAAAGUGUAGUAUAUACAUGUAAGUUGUUUAAAACAUGUGAAUGUUUAUUAUGUAGAGAUAAGUAGACAAUAGAUUAAUAUGUGUAAACUGUAGAAAUUUAUAAAUUGUAAAAUAAACAAAUAAUAUUAGUAGUAGUUAAAAAUAAUAGAAUAUGUAGAGAAAAAUAUUAAAUAUAUAUAUCUUUAUAUGUAUGACAUAUAUAUGUACCUUGUAUUUGGACUUGGCAUAUCUAAAAUUUGAAUAACAUGUUAAUAGAUAAAAUAUUUUAGCAAUAUCUUGAAAAAAUAAAGAUAGUAAUAAUAGUAAUAUAAUUUCUUCAUAAAGCGGUUGAUUUAAAGAUUAAAAAUAGGGAAACUUACAUAAAUAUACUAAAAUAAAAAAAUAUUUACCAUUUAUAGCAAUAAUAUCUUUUUUUCACUUGAUCACUUUUAAUUCAUUUUUAAUACAAGUUUAAUACAUAUUACAAAUAACAAUUUAUUAUUCAUAUAUAAUACAAAUUUUAAUAAUGGAUAAUACAUUUAUCGCACAUUUUAAUACACUUAUAAUACAAUAUGUCAAAUUUUUACCAAACAAACAUAAUAUAUUUCAAAAAACAAUUAUAAUUCAUAUAUAUUGCAUACAUAAUUCACUUUUAAUUCAUAUUGUAGAUUUGACAUAGCAUUGUUAUAAAUGGUAAUAAAUAAAAAGUAUUACUAAAAUCAGUAAUUAUUUAUUAAAAUGUACUAAUUUAUGUAAUUUUUCCUUAAAAAUAAGCCUAACUAUUGGGAUUAGUUUCAUAACUAACAUUUUUUAUGUCAUUUUUUGUUCAUAAACAUAGCGUCUACUUCCCAAAAUAUAUUUCAAGAGAGUAUUAUUUUAGCAUAACAUAUUUCUAAGGGUGAUUAUUUUAGUAUCUAAACUAAUCUCUAAUUUAUUUGGACGAGCAUUUUGGCAUACAUCAAUAUUAUUCGGUCCUUUUGAAACUUUAUUCGAAAAAUUCUUAAACUAUAAGUCCCUUUUCAACUUGAAGGCCUGAAAGAAUGAUGUAAAUAAAUAAUAUUAACCCAUUUUAAGAAGAUAUUUUUUGUAUCAUUUGUUCUAAUUAAAGCAUUUCAACAAAAUUUAUAAGCAUAUAAUAUUAGCUCACAUAAAUAAACUUCAAAAUAAAAGACAAUCAACAUAUCAAACUUAAGAGUAAAGGUCAGUCAACAUAUCAAAACAAAUAUAAUUAAGGCAACAAAAGAAAGGAUAAGAAAGCAUUAGACUCCUAUUUAUGAGACUCCAAGCAUUGCGGUGAUUCUAAUUUGCGGUUGGUCUAAUAUUUUAGGCCAAUAACGAAUUUCAAAAUAGAAACUCCAGCCCUUCAAUGGUACAUGAAACAUAAGAAAAGAAAUUAAAGGAAUUGAAUACAUAAAUUAUGAAAUAAAGUAUAAAAUGAAUGUAGCAUCAAAUCUCGACCCAGUUAACUUUGACCCAAAUUUCAAUUACUGGACGUGCAAAACAAAUGUUUUAGGGGUUAGAGACACAUGAUACGAGAUUUUAAAAGCGUUUAUCCUUGUUAAUACAUGAAGAACUCAAAAUAAAGUAACAAUCAUCCUUUACUAGUUCAUAAUACUAUAAGAUUUUCUUUCUCUUUUUUUUAGAUGUAGAAAGAGUGAAGAUUCAAAGAUCUGUUUGAUAGGAAAAUUUUCCAGCAUGUAAAUAAUACACCUUGGACUUCAAAAAUAAGAAAAAAUACAAAAUGAGUAUUGUAUGAUCAAGAUAAAUCUCAUUUCAACUUUAUGAAUAAGGUAUGUCUCCCUAUCUGUAUAUGACAUUUAAAUACACAUACACAAAAAAUGUGCUUGCCAUGAACAUGUAUUUUGGUCAUAUCAACUGUUCAAUAUUCGAAAGUUUGAUAAUCACGCAUAUUGUGAUGAAGAGAGUCAUGUAAUUUCAGCCAAAGUUAAUCAUCCCAAAACAGACAUAAAACGUGAACUGAGAGGAAUUACGAACACUCAAACAUUUUAUGAGUCGACAAAAUAAAGGGUGUUAUCAAUGACCUUAUUAACGACGUUAAAAAGCAAGAAUAGAGUACAACAAAAUAGAUCAAGAUUGAUUAUACUCUAGUUAACUCAGUCUGCCUCAAUUUAAUAGGUGAAUAUUUAUUUAACGUUCCUCGUUUUACGUGAACAAAAGGUAGAUUUGUAAUGUGUCAAAACUUGUGAGAGGCAAAGAAAGAAAAAUGUAGCCAUCUAAUCAUUGAAUUUGAUUUUUAGUGAAUAACUACAAUUUCAUUAAGUUAAUUCUAUCGCCAAAUAAAUGAGGAAAAAUGUACAAAUAUCCUCUCAAUCUAUGUCCGAAAUUUUUGAAACACACUUAUAUUAUAUUAAGCUUCUAUUACUCCCUGAAUUUAUUUUAUAAAUAAUUUUCUACCCCUUCUCGGUCUACGUGGCAUUAACUUGAAAAAAAAAGUCAAUCAACGUUGGACCCACAAGAUAGUGCCACAUAGUCUGAAAAAGGGUAAAAAUUACUAAUAAAAUAAGUUUGAGGAUAAUAGGACCUUAGUAUAGUAUAAGUGUGUCUCUGAUAUUUCAAGCAUAGGUUGAGGGGUAACUUGUACAUUAUCCCAAUAAAUGAUACAAAUGAUUUUGAUAUGCUAAUUUUUCGAAAAAAUAAACAAUACAAAAAUUUCUCAUAUCGAAUUCGAAGUGUCACGCUAUUAUUACUUAGUAUUCAUAUCGCGAAGGCAUAGUCUGUUGAGUUUUAUUUGCCCUGAUUUCUUAUUUUCCUUUUAAGAAAAAGUUUUGGAUUGACUAAUCUUUUUCUUGUAGGAAAAGGUUUAGAACUCUAUAAAUAGAGACAUGUUCCUUCUAACUUAAUCAGCAUUCAAAAUGUAGUUUUAAAGGCUUUGAGAGUUUUGGUUAGAGGGAGAAUUUGUGGGUCACAAGCUUGAUACGUUAUCACUUGUGUGAACCUCCCAUGUAUUCCGAGUGAAUUGGUUGAGGUUGUUUAUCUCUGUAUUUGGACGUAGGUCAAUUGACCGAACCACGUUAAAUCUUUGUGUCUUUUGGUAUAUUUCUCGUUGUGUUCUUACUCGUGAUCUUUCGAGGUUUGCAUUGCUAAUAAUCGAUGAUUGAACCAGGUUAGAAAGAGGUGUUCAUCUUGAAGGGUGUAGUUCUUGCCGCAACCUUUUUAACAGUAAUGAAGAUUUUGUUGGAGAAAUUGUUUCAGAGAGGUUCUCUGUGUUGAGACAUAAAUUUUGCAAAGGAGAUUAUGGAGAGGAGAAGCAAGUUGUUGAUGAUUAAGUAAAGAAGGUGAACAAAUUUAUUUUGUUAGAAAUUCAGAUCAAGGGGGAGAUUUGUUGGGUUUUAUUUGCCUGAUUUCUUAACAUAAAUAGGUUUUCCUAUUAGGAAAAUGUUUUGGAUUGACUAAUUUUUUUUUGUAGGAAAAGGUUUAAGACUCUAUAAAUAGAGACAUGUUCCUUCUAACUUAAUUAGCAUUCACAAUGUAAUCUUAAAGGCUUUGAGAGUUUUGGUUAGAGGGAGAAUUUGUGGGUCACCAGCUUGAUACGUUAUCACUUGUGUGAACCUCCCAUGUAUUCGGAAUGAAUUGGUUGAGGUUGUUUCUCUCUGUAUUUUGUACUCUCUUAUUUAUAGUGGAUUGCUCAUCUCUUUUGUGGACGUAGGUCGAUUGACCGAACCACGUUAAAUCUUUAUGUCUUUUGGUAUAUUUCUCGAUGUGUUCUUACUCGUGAUCUUUCGAGGUUUGCUUUGCUAGAUUCCGCAUUUACACCUGCUUAUUUCCGGUCCUAACAUAUAUGAGCCUGUUUGGCUCAGCUUAAAAGCUGGUCAAACUGACUUAAAAGCUGGUUUUUGACUUAUUUAGUUGUUUGGCAAUACUCAAAACAACUUAUUUUAAGUUAAAAAAAACUUAUUUUAAGCCAAAAGUUAAAAGCUGGGGUAGGGGUGCUUUUUUUUUCCAGCUUAUAAGCUGUUUUAAGUUGACCACAUUUUUACCUUUUUGCCCUUAAUAUUUUUAUACUAUCUCCAAAUUACCCACAUAACCCUAACAUCUCUUUCUUCUAUUUUUCCCUUUUCACGUGUUGAUGAUAGACAAUUACUAUUACUAAUGAAUGAAAAUAAAAUAAAUCUUAAAUCUUUCAAGUGAUCUAUUCAAAUUAUAUAUUAUUAAAAUGUAAAAUAAGUUGCACAUAACUUAAAUAAAAAAUUAAUAUUCCUCUUAUAAAUAAUUUGUGAUAAUAAAGAAAUAUGUGAAUGAUAGACAAUUAUUAUUACCUAUGGAUGAAACUAAAAUAAAAUCUUAAAUCGUUCUUUAAUCUAUUCAAAUUAUAUAUCUUUAAAAUCUAUAAUAAGUUUAUAUUCCUCUUAUAAAUAAUUUGUGAUGAGAAAUAAAUAUGUGAAUGAUAACAAUAUAUAAUUAUUUAUGACUGUAAAAUAUAAAUUAAUUAACUUUUAUUAUGUUACAGCUUUUAAGGAUAUUUCAGACAUUUUGAUUUAAAAAGCUGUUUAUCAGCACUUAUUUGCCAAACACAUCAACAACUUUUUUUUUAACUUCAGCAUUUUUUAUCCAAACGCAUAAUUGCUUAUUUUAAAAAUAAGUUUCAGCACUUUCAAAAGUACUUUUUUAAAGCUGCUUUUAAUAAGCCCAUCCAAACGGGUCCAUAGUCUUCUUUUUCUUCUCAAAUAAAAACCUCAUUAGCGCUUUGCGUGAUGGAAUGCUAUACGUUAAAACAAUUAUUAUUGAGGCUAUGUCGAAAUGUUAAUGGCAGGUUCAAACAAACCAACCAAUUAACAAAAGAAAGAAAAGCAUUUAGAAAGAAGAGAAAUCCGUAAUUUUGAACAAAGUUAUCAUUUAAAAAACAAUUAAUGAAAGAUUCUAACCAUAUAUAUGUAGACAAUAAAAUUCGCGUCGAGAAAACAAUAAUCAAGAACAGAAAAUUAUAGCAACAAUCGAUUUUAUUAUUUCAAAUGCGAGUGUUACAAUCUCUAUAAUUCCUCUGAAUUCACCUUUUCAAAUAUAAAUUCAAGGGCUUUAAAGAUUGUUCUUGAAUCUAUGAUGAACUUGAACUUGAACUUUAUCUUGAUCUUGACUUUUAUUUGAACUCAAGGGUUCGAGAUUGUUCUUGAAUUCCGUGGUCUUGAUCUUGAUCGUUCUUGAACUUGAAUGCUUGAAUUCUUAAACUUAUAGCUUUGUAGAGAAUUAAAUGGCGUUUGUACCACAGAGUUUCUCUAACUUCUUGUUUAGAAUUUUCUAUCUUUCUGAAUUAUAAGGACCCCUAUUUAUAGUUUUAUAAUAGAGGAGUUGCGAUUGGAAUAGGAUUCCGUUCAGCCAAUCAGAUUUAAGUGACAUGACAUUUGGGCUUUAUGGAGUGGGCUUGUCAUCUUUGACACAUGUCAUGAUUCUAUUGGUUUUCUUAGUUGACUUGGCAUGCCACAUCAUCUGCACAUGUGGCGCCAAGAUGAGCUCUAGAAUGAGAUGAGAUUGGGUUUAACAAAUUGGGUUCAUCCAAUGUAGCCCAAAUCAAUUAAUUUAGACUUUAAUUAAAUCCAUAUUUAUUGGACUUAAAUAUUAACUCAAUUAUAUCAAUCCACAAUGUUUAUUUGGAUUAAUAUACUUAUGAAUUCAAUAUAAUCCGAAUGAUUUGAUAAAUUUAUAUUUAAUAAAUUUUAAAUGAUUACAAUGCCCCCUUCUUCAAGUCUUGUCGAGAUAUUUUAUCUCUUAGAGACUAGACUUGAAGCAUUAACCGGUUACUAAAUUCACCUUAGUUAAAAAAUGAAUUAUAAUUGAAUUAACAGUUGUAAUCCUACUCAAUUUCAUAUUCCUAUAUAUGGUUUAUUGCCCAAACCAAAAAAAGAAAUCAUAAUUUAAUUAGGAAUUGUAAUCCUACUCAAUUUCAUAUUCAUAUAUAUGUUUUAUUGCCCAAGCCAAAAAAAAUUAUAAUUGAACUAGAAAUUGUAAUCCUACUCAAUUUCAUAUUCAUAUUAUGUUUUAUUGCCCAAGCCAAAAAAAAUUGUAAUUAACCUGGGAAUUGUAAUCCUACUCAAUUUCAUAUUCAUAUAUAUGUUUUAGUGCCCAAGCCAAAAAGAAAUUGUAAUUGAAUUGGGAGAAGUAUUUUAUCCCACCACAUGAAAUCUAUAAAUAGAUACAUUGUCUCCAUAAUUUUAUCUUCAAUUACAGAUUGUGAGCCUAUGACGAAAAGGGCAUACUCAAGGUAAUUUUCCUCUUUUUUUUUAUUUUCGUUACUUUUUCUUUUUACAGCUUGACAUGUUUGUCGUAGAAAAUUCAUAUCUCAUUGUAGAAAAAUCGAAAUCAUGAACCAUUUAAUUUUUCAAAAACUAGACUUUUAGAUCUUUAACAUACCCGAAAUUAAAAAUUUAAUACCUUCAGAAUCUUUCUAGAUGAUUUUUUGAAGUUAGCUCUAGAUUCUGUAAUGCUAAAAAAUCGUCACUUUUUUACAGCCUGACAUGUUCGUCGUAGAAAAUUCAUAUCUCAUUGUAGAAAAAUCAAAAUCAUAAACCGUUUGAUUUUUCAUAAAGUAAACUUUUUGAUCUUUAACAUAUCCAAAAUUCAAAAUUUAAUACCUUCAGAAUCUUUCUAGAUGAUUUUUUUUGAAGUUGGCUCUAGAUUCUGUCAUGCUGAAAAUUCGUCACUUUUUUUAUAGUAUGACAUGUUCGUCGUAGAAAAUUCAUAUCUCAUUGUAGAAAAAUCAAAAUUAUGAACCGUUUGAUUUUUCAGAAACUAGACUUUUCGAUCUCUAACAUAUCCAAAAUUUAAAGUUUAAAUCUUCAAAAUUUUUCUAGAUGAUUUUUGAAGUUAACUCUAGAUUCUGCCAUGCUAAAAAACUUUCAGAUUUGUGUGACUUACUAAAAGAUCUCGUGUCUUGACGUAGGAACAGCGAAAUCACAAUCCACUUGGUGAUUCCUAAUCUAGACAUAUAGGUCUACAACAAUUCCAAGAUUCAAGAUUUAAUACCUUUCGAGUCUCAAACAUCUUGACGGGUAACAAUCUCUCCUUCACUUGUUUUUUUUUGUAGAUCAGCAAAAGGAAAUUUAUAUUUUAUGGAGGCUACAUAAUGGAAGGAUUUAUCACUUAAAAAUGUGCUUGACGUCCAUGCCUUAACAAAAUAAAUAAAUAAAAAUCUCAAGGUGUUCCAUGGCCCCGAAUGCUUAACCAACUUGAUUCUUUUCUAGAUUACCGUGUAAUGCUCCCACCUUAAAAAUAAAUUCAAGGUGUUAAACGGUCCCGAAUGCUUGACCAACUUGAAUCUUUAAUAGGAUACCAUGUAACACUCCCGCCUUGAAGAUAACCUCAAGGUGUUACAAGGUCCUGAUUAUUUGACCAUGAAGCUUUACUAGAAUACCGUGUAACACUCCCGCCUUGAAAAUAAACUCAAGGUGUUACAAGGUUCCUAAUGCUUGACAAACUUGAAGCUUUAAUAGGAUACCAUGUAACGCUCCCUCCUUGAAGAUAACCUCAAGGUGUUACAAGGUCCUAAAUGUUUGACCAUGAAGCUUUACUAGAAUACCGUGUAACACUCCUGCCUUGAAAAUAAACUCAAGGUGUUACAAGGUCCCGAAUGCUUGACCAACUUGAAGCUUUAAUAGGAUACCAUGUAACGCUCCCCCCUUGAAAAUAAUCUCAAGGAGUUACAAGGUUCCGAAUGUUUAACCAACUUGAAGCUUUAAUAGGGAACCGUGUAACGCUCCUGCCUUGAAAAUAAACUCAUGGUGUUACAAGGUCCCGAAUGCUUGACAAACUUGAAGCUUUAAUAGGAUACCGUGUAACGCUCCCCCCUUGAAAAUAAUCUCAAGGUGUUACAAGGUUCCGAAUGUUUAACCAACUUGAAGCUUUAAUAGGAAACCGUGUAACGCUCCCGCCUUGAAGAUAAACUCAAGGUGUUACAAGGUCCUGAAUGCUUAAAAAUCUUGAAGCUUUAAUAGAAUACCAUGUAACGCUCCCGCUUUGAAGAUAACCUCAAGGUGUUACAAGGUCCUGAAUGUUUGACCAACUUGAAGCUAUAAUAGGAUACUUUGUAACACUCCCGCCUUGAAAAUAAACUCAAGGUGUUACAAGGUCCUGAAUGCUUAACCAACUUGAGACAAGAUAAACCCGUGAAAAGACCAGUUUAAGGUGCAAAGGGACAAAUAUUGUCCACCUUAAGUCAUGGAAAUUUAAAGAUCCUUUUAAAGAUAAAUUCGUCGGAACUCUAGCUUAUGGUGCAAAGGGACAAAUAUUGUCCACCUUAAGGCAUGGAAAUUUAAAGAUCCUUUUAAAGAUAAAUCCGUUGAGACUCUAGCUUAAGGUGCAAAAGGACAAGUUUUUCCACCUUAAGGCAUAAAAAUUUAAAGAUUCGUUGAAGGAUAAAUUCGCAACAAAGCUAGAUUAAGGUGCAAAGCCACAAAUAUCGUCCACCUUAAGGCAUGAAAAAUUUAAAGAUCCUUUUAAAUAUACAUCAGUGAAAAGGUCAACUUAAGGUGCAAAGGGACAAAUAUUGUCCACCUUAAGGCAUGAAAAUUUAAAGAUCUUUUUAAAGAUAAAUCCGUCGGAACUCUAGCUUAAGGUGCAAAGGGACAAAUAUUGUCCACCUUAAGGCAUGGAAAUUCAAAGAUCCUUUUAAAGAUAAAUCCGUCGGAACUCUAGCUUAAGGUGCAAAGGGACAAGUUUUUCCACCUUAAGGCAUAGAAAUUUAAAGAUUCGUUGAAGGAUAAAUUCGCAACAAAGCUAGAUUAAGGUGCAAAGGCACAAAUAUCGUCCACCUUAAGGCAUGAAAAAUUUAAAGAUCCUUUUAAGUAUACAUCAGUGAAAAGGUCAACUUAAGGUGCAAAGGGACAAAUAUUGUCCACCUUAAGACAUGAAAAUUCAAAAAGAUUGUUUUAAGUAUACAUCCGUGAAAAGGCCUAGCUUAAGGUGCAAAGGGACAAGUUUGUCCACCUUAAAACAUAGAAAUUCAAGAUCAAUUGAGGGAUAAUCCGCAACAAAGAUAGCUUAAGGUGCAAAGGGACAAACCACCAUUAGGCAUGGAAUUCAAUUACAUACGCAUUUGGAGGCUUCUACUUAUAUACUUGAAGUCUUACCUUCAUACUUAAAGUAUUUGAAUACUUCAACCUGUAUACUCAGAGAAUUUGGAUACUUCAAAUAAUAAACUCGAAGAAUAUAAAGACUCCAAUUUGCAUACUUGAUCUAAUUUAAAGACUUUCACCGUACUAAUAAGAUAUUCAUAUUUUAUAAGAGUUUGCCCCUUCCAUAAACCCAUCAAUACUUCGUGCAAGUCUUAAGUUUGAUGAGACAAAAUAUAAAAAUAAAAUAUAUAUAGCUUUGACUUUCAUGCAAUAGAUUAAGUAGGAACAUUUUUUGACACUCAUACAACUGAACUUAGAAUAUGGUUCUAAGUGCCUACGUACCUCAAUAAAGAGGAUCAAGUCACAACGUAGUUCUGGGGAUUUGAGUGAUUAUUCUUUUUUUUUGUUGUGCCGUACAGAGUUUAUACUCUUGCUGGCCAGGAGUGACAUGCAGUUUAGGCUCGUACCUUAAGGAGCAUCAUCUUCCUUCAAGGAUAGUAUCUCUUUAGAAAUUUGGCAUUAAUAGGACCGAUCCUUAAGCCAUCAGCAUCAACAAGCUUGUAAGCACCAUUUGAAUAUGCUUCUUGUACGACAUAUGGUCCAUCCCACUUUGAGGUAUCAUCUUGCUAGUCGGUCACUAAGGACAGGUUUUGACAUAACAAACUUGAUGGAAUUUGCUCCAGAAAUAAGGCGGACAACAUGAGCUUGAAAUAAUGCUUCAUCUUUUGAAUAAAGAAGACCAGUGCCAAGCAUAACUUUUCAAUUGGCGAAUAAUUUAGCUCAUUUGGCGUCAUCGUUCUACUUAAGUAAUAAAGAGCAUUUUCUUUGCCUUCACUAUUCUCUUGAGCUAACAGGGCUCCUACAGACCUUUCUUAUGUUGCAAUGUAGAGUAUCAAACGUUUUCCAGGUAUAGGGGCUGCCAAAACCGGAGGUUUCGCUAGAUACGAUUUGAUACUUUUAAAGGCUUCGCUACAUGUUUGGUCCCAAUUAAAAGGAGCACCUUUCUUCAUGAGAUGACUGAAUGGUUGACAUCUCCCCGCUAGAUUUGAGAUGAACCUUCUCAAGUAGGCUAACUUUCCUUGGAGACUUUUUAACUCAUGAAUAUCUCGAGGUUCAGGCAUCUUUGAUAUUGCAUCGAAUUUGGCUUGAUCAAUUUCAAUUCCACGGUGUCUCACAAUAAAGCCAAGGAACUUGCCGGAAGUAACUCCGAAGGCACAUUUCAAUGGAUUCAUCCUUAGUUGAUAUCUUCGGAGUAACUCAAACACUAUCCUUAAGUCUUUCAAAUGAUCACCCCUCUUCCUCGACUUUACUAACAAAUCAUCAACAUAUUAUUCAACAUUUUUAUGGAGCAAGUCGUCCAAGAUAUUUUGCAUAGACCUUUGAUAUGUGGUGCCAGCAUUCUUUAAAUCAAAUGGGCAUCACUUUGUAGCAAUAAAUACCUUUUGGCGUGCUAAAUGCAGUGAGUUCUUCAUCUUUUGGUGACAUGAGGAUUUUAUUAUAUCCAGAAGAACCAUCCAUGAACGACAUUGCCUCAUAACCAGUGGUGGCAUCAAUCAUCAACUCUGGAAUGGGAAGAGGAAACUCAUCUUUAGGGCAUGCAUUAUUGAGAUCUCUAAAGUCAACGCAAACUCUAAUUUGACCAUUCUUCUUCCUCACAGGAACAAUACUUGAAAUCCAUGUAGGAUAUUUGACCUCACGAAUAAAGCCCGCCUCAAUCAAUUUGUUAACUUCAUUUUCUAUCAACGGAAUCAAGUCUGGUCUAAGACGUCUUUGAGCUUGUUUAACUGGACGAGAACUAUUUUUGACUGCCAAUUGAUGGACCGCUACUCUAGGAUUCAAUCAAUGCAUUUCUUUGUAACUCCAAGCGAAUAUAUCUCUAUAUUCUUUGAGUAUAUUCAUGUAAGCGACUUCUUCAUCAAUUUCUAGAAACGCACUCAAGUAAGUUGGCUUCGGAUCUUCAUCAGUGCCAAUGUUAACUUCCUUCAAAGGAUCUAUUGUGAUCUUUACUCCUUCUUCAAGUUCUGAAGGAGCAUCUUUAGCAUCUUCCUCUUCCACAGGAUCAUUGUCAUUGACUGAUAUAUGACAACACGAGACAAUAUCUUCUACCUCUUCCACAAUCUUAUUUUGAGGCAAAGAAUCGUACUCAUUUUGGAUUGUAACAUGAUUUGAGGAACCUACACUUUCUUCAUCUUCCUCGCGCUCUUUUGUGUAAACAACAGUAUGAACCUUUGCCUUGAGUUCCUCUUUAUAGGAAACCAUAAGUUCCACUCGUCGCCUCAUCCUAGAAGGAAUCAAACUUCUGAAAUCCUUUCGAAUCAAAUGUGAAGUAGGCUUUGUAACUCUCAAAUAACUUCUCAGGUUCUCUUUAUUCUUCUUCAGAGGACCUAACCUCUUAAACACAAAAAUUCUUGAUAUCGCUUCACCAAGUCGAUCAAUGACAGAAGGCCUUUUAUUGGGAUCAGUAACGUCAUCUUCAAAAGUUAUAUGAUUAUUACUGGCCCUUCUUAUGGAAAUGAGAAUUGGUGGUGGUUGGCUAUAACCUAGGCCUUCACGCGCUUUCCUAGUUGUAUCUUCUGAUGGGAGUUUCCCUAGCGAUGAUGGCUCGCUAGGGUUGUAUCAUGCCUUCACAAAUAACUUGUAGGAAUUGGGAUCAAAACCUUCUCUUGUGCGCUUUGUAGGGAGAGCCAUAUCUAGCACUUGAUCUUGAGCGACUGACUUUUCUGGCAACUUUGAGAACAAGUUUAUUGCAUCAAUCCAUCUGAUAGGAAGAAUUAGCCCUCUUAAUGCAUUUUCUUCAAGGUUAGAUGGUUGAUCUUGUUUUUUCUUCUCUUUUGGAACAUAGCAAAGCCUAGAAGUCUACUUCUUCUUUGAAGACAGGAUCUUCCCUUCAUUAAGAAUGGGACAAGAGUAUUUAGUGUCAAUUUUUACCUUAUCGAUAGCUGCAUCAAUUCUUUUACGUACGAUAUUAUCAAUCUUGAUUGAUUUGACGUCAUUGGUUUUGACCCCUUUAACAACAUAACUUCUCAUAUAGAAUUUCGCAUCCGCAAAGUGUGUCUCCACUUCAGUGAAAAUAUUAUCAUCUGCAACUAUCGUUCUUUCAAUUCCACCUUCAAGAUAUUUCAAACAUUAAUAGUAAGAAGAUGAGACAAUUCUAUUCUCAUGUACCCAAGGCCUGCCAAGUAAUAUGUUGUAUGUUGUCUUUGCGUCAAUCACAUGCAUCCAUGCGCUUUAUCGCAAAUCUCCCACGUGGAUCUCUAAUUUAAUAGAGUCUACGGACCUCUGUCCACCUUGAUUAAAUCCUUGUAUCAACAGACGACUUUCACUAAGUUCCCAGUCGUGAUGCUAAGUUCCUUCAAUGUGUGGAUAGGCAAAAUGUUGACUCCAGAUCCUUCAUCUAUUAAGAUUCUAUUUAUCUUCUUCUCUAGCACAUGACCCACCAUAUACAAAGGACGAUUGUGUAGUGUUUCACCAAAUAGAAGAUCGUUAUCCGUAAAUGUGAUUUUAGUAUCACAUACAUGUGCUUCUUGGGAAGAAAGUUCAAUAGAUUUUUCAGAAGAUGAAAGAGACAUCAUUUCUGAGAUUCCCCUUGUUUCUUUUUCUUCUUCCCUAGGAGACACUUUUGGUGAGGAUUCACUCGUUGUUCCUUCUUUUACAGUAGGAGGCACAUUCAUUGUUUGUCCUUUAUCCGCAUUGAAACAUGAUGCCUCGACAUUGCCUUGAGUAGACUUUGUACCGAACGAGCUUGGCAAGAAUUCCUCUAAAGUUACAAGACGUCGAGGUUUUUGGUAGUGAUGCACUUCAAUCUUUGCCCUUUUGGGGCGCUUGAUUGAUUUUUGCUUCUCUGAUUUCUUCACCAUUUUUCCUCUAACCGGUUGCUCGAAUAAUUCUUUUCGUAAGCUUGACUUGUUGUGUCUUCGCCUAGUUACAAGAAUCCAACCCUCAUCACCAUCUAUGUCAACGUCCUGUUCUACUGGCUUUUCUUCAUGCUUUUCAGAGAUAUACAUUUGGAUUGGAUCCAAUGACCCAAACGUGAUAGAGAUCUUGAUAGAACUAGCUUUCUCAUCAUCAUGGAUAAUUUUGUUUUCGUUUACCAAUCGCAUCACUCUAUCCUUAAAGAUAAAACAUUUUUCAAGAGGAUGACUCACAAAACUGUGAUACUUGCAAUAAUUUGGGUCAUCAGUUUUUCCAGCUUCAUCGGGUCGCUUCAUCUCUGGCAAGUCAAUGAGCUUUAACUCAAGUAAUUCAUCAAAAAUUUCAGAAACGUCAGAAUCCAAGAAGGGAUAUUUUUUUCCUUGCAUCUCCCUUAGCGUCGACUUUUGAUUUGAACGUGCUUGGAAAGUCGUUCUCACAUUUUGUCUUACACCCUCAUUCGUGGUGAACUUUGCAGGGGACACAUUUACACUCAUGGAUUCUUUGUUGUCAUUUUUGGGCAGAAACUUGCUCCAUCUCUUGGGUUCCUGUUUGUCCCUUCCUUUGCGAGGAUCAUGGACAAUAGUCAUAUCUUUUCCGGCAGAUGUCAUGCUCAACUCCAUAUCAUGAGCGCGAGUAGCUAAAUUCUCGAAAGAUUUUAGUUUUAUUCCUUGCAAGAUGUAAAGAAGCUCCCAGUGCAUUCCUUGAAUAACAUUUUGAUUGCACAAGCUUCACUAAGACUGUCCUUACAAUUUAGGCUCGCGUUCCUCCACUGAUUUAUGAAAUCUAUGACCGGUUCAUCCUUCCUUUGGUGAGUAUUCGUGAGUUCUACCAUGCUCACUGUGCGCCUUGUGCUAUAAAAGCGAUUAAGAAACUCAUGUUUAAGUUGCUCCCAACUAUCAAUAGAGUUAGGUUCGAGAUCCGUGUACCAAUCAAAGGCAUUUCCUUUUAGAGAGCGAACAAACUAUUUGACAAGAUAGUCUCUAUAUGUUCCAGCAUUGUUACAUGUCUCCACGAAGUGCGCGACAUGUUGUUUUGGAUUUCUUUUUCCCUCAAAUUGUUGAAAUUUGGGAGGUUCAUAACCAGCAGGCAUUUUAAAGUUAUCAAUCCUAGCAGUGUAUGGCUUAGCAUACAUAUGAGAAGACUUGGUGGAGACUUCAUACUUAUCUUUGAUAGUGCCUUCAAUAAACUCCUUCAAGCGAUCGAGUGGGAUCAUUCCUUCAUAACAAACUGGCAUCUCUUUAACAAACGGGAUUUUCUUAGCAGGAUCUUUGAUUUCUUGAACUUCAAUGCCCUUUCCAGGUGCAUGGCUCGCAUCUCCAUCUAAAAGUCCUUCUAUCCUGUCCAUUAACUUGUCAAUUCGAGAUUCUUGGUGUUGUACGUGCUUCAUCAAUCCUUCUACCAGCUUCGUCAGAUUUGCGAGUUGUUCCUCAGGAGAGGAAGCAGCAGUCACCAUCGUUUGCAUGAUCAUCGGAGAUGCAGGAGAGUAGCAUGGAUUUUCGCGUAAGUUAAUUUUCAGUGGACUCACAUUACACGAUAUACGUGGAGAUGAUUCAUAAGUUGAAUCACAGUUCUCCCUUGUGGUAGAGUUCUUGGAACCAGAUUGCUCAAGUAGAGCCAAUGUCUUCUUGAUCUUUUCAGCAACACUACUUCCUCCUUCUAGAGCAUUUGUGGAGGAACUUGCUCCUUUUGGAGUCGAAGACCCGAAAAUAGGAGUUGAUGCGAACGACACUUGAAGCGUUUGUUGUCCUAAUAUAGCAGCCUUGCUUCUCGUAACAGCUCCAAAACUUCCAAAGGUAACACCAAGGAUGUCUUCAACUUCAGUGGAGAACUUGGAGCUAGUGACCUUAGAGGCGGUUGAUCGAGAGUUGUUGUUCAUGUCGUCCAUGGAAGUCAUCUUGAUAUUCUUUGACGUUUGAAAAGUUGAGAUGAGAGGUAGAGAUGGUCCCACUGGGCGUGCUGAUAUUUGUAGACAAUAAAAUUCGCGUCGAGAAAACAAUAAUCAAGAACGGAAAAUUAUAGCAACAAUCAUUUUUAUUAUUUCAAAUGUGAGUGUUACAAUCUCUAUAAUUCCUCUUAAUUCGUCUUUUCAAAUAUAAAUUCAAGGGCUUUAAAGCUUGUUCUUGAAUCUAUGAUGAACUUGAACUUGAACUUUAUCUUGAUCUUGAUCUUGACGUUUAUUUGAACUCAAGGGCUUCGAGCUUGUUCUUGAAUUCGGUGGUCUUGAUCUUGAUUGUUCUUGAACUUGAAUGCUUGAAUUCUUGAACUUGUAACUUUGUAGAGAAUUAAAUGGCGUUUGUACCACAUAGUUUCUCUAGCUUCUUGUUUAGAAUUUUCUAUCUUUCUAAAUUAUGAGGACCCCUAUUUAUAGUUUUAGAAUAGAGGAGUUGCGAUUGGAAUAGGAUUCCGUUCAGCCAAUCAGAUUUAAGUGACAUGGCAUUUGGGCUUUAUGGAGUGGGUUUGUCAUCUUUGACACAUGUCAUGAUUCUAUUGGUUUUCUUAUUUGACUUGGCAUGCCACAUCAUCUGCACAUGUGGCGCCAAGAUGGGCUCUAGAAUGAGAUAAGAUUGGGUUUAACAAAUUGGGUUCAUCCAAUGUAGCCCAAAUAAAUUAAUUUAGACUUUAAUUAAAUCCAUAUUUAUUGGACUUAAAUAUUUAACUCAAUUAUAUCAAUCCACAAUGUUUAUUUGGAUUAAUAUAUUUAUAAAUUCAAUAUAAUCCGAAUCAUUUUAUAAAUUUAUAUUUAAUAAAUUUUAAAUGAUUACAGUAUAUACUACAAUUAAAUAAUCUAAUUUUCACAUAUAUUAUGCAUUAAUAGUGAGUUAUACAGCUGACCCAAGAAAUGAAAAAUCACUUAACAAUUGCAAUGAGGCUACGUUUUAUAUUGGUUGAAUAACAAAUAGUACAGGACUUUAAAAAAAAUAUCCUCUCAAGACUUUAAGCAAAACAAAUAACAUGGACCUGACCAAAUUAUGCCAUACCAUGAACAAGCAUUUAGAGAAGAACUAAUUACAAAAAAGACUCGUGUUCAAACUAGAACCAACUUUAGCCUAGAGCAUUGAGGUCGAAACAAAGAAGAAACAAGAAUGAAUCCAACGGAUCUCAACAAAAUCAAGAUUCACCACUCAUCACUUAGAAUCUAAAUAAAACGUAAUACUAGGGAAGAUAUUUUACCUUGUGUUGAGCAGCAAACUAGAGCUUAGACGUCAAAGAUUCAAACUUUUAAAUUCCUCGAACUUGAAUUCAAAAUCAAAAAUAGAAAGACAAGAAGGGAGACAAUUUAAACUCUAAAAGCUUUGAAGUGUUGCAAUUUUUUCAAUCAUUUUUCUCGAUCAUUGUUGGUUAUAUUUGGAUGUGGUUGGUGUGUGAUGUUAUUUUGUCCCGUUUUUCUGGAUUUUUUCACAUUUUUUUUUCCGAUGCCUUUCGAUGGAGAACCCAAGGGGUCUUUUGUAGAUAAAUUUGGGAGAGGCUUCCAACCUCAGUCCCAUUAGAUUAAGGCGUAACCAAUCAAAAUACGAUUAUUCUUCGCAUCCCCGCUUUUAGGAGAGCAAUGAUGAUGACUGAGACUUCUGGUCCUGUUUUGGGUUAGAAAUAAAUCAAAAAAGAUGUAAAGUUGAUAGAAAAAAAGGUUGUGAUUGAUGGACGGCGGAUGGAGGAAGAGGUGACGUUGGAGACCAUCGGACAUUAUUAUUUUUCGGCAGUCCAUGGUCGUUUCUUUGGCAGCGGAUGAUGGGCGAUUGAUGCGAGAGGAAGAAUUAGGAGCAUGGGGAAGGUGAGCGCGCAGCAUGCAGACGCCUGGGGAAGGAGGAGAAAAAGUGAGGCGCAUCCCCUUUUUUACGAAAAAGAAGAAGACGU
rnacentral:lncRNA from 1 species